rnacentral:lncRNA from 1 species
UAUUGUGCAGCAUAUCUUUAACAACAACCAUUAGCUCUUGCAAGAUAGCCUUUUGUCUUUCCAUUGAUGUACUAACUCCACCAAGUUCCUGAAAAAGCAACUUCAGGUUAGCACAUGCAAUUAAGUAAUACCUGAAGUAAUCGAAACAGUAAUUAGAAAGGAAAGCAAGAGAAUUAGACUAUAAAAUGUUUAAUAUCAGCGGCAAAUAAUAUCCUCAAUCAGAAUAAGAUGAGCAUUGUUAGGUGGUAUGAAUUAUGAAAAUCUGAAUAACUCAAAAAUCAGCUCAAGACCUCUGGAUCAUCAUCAGUCUGUGCUAACCACAAAUAGACACAAGAAAUAUAGCUAUAUAUAUAGACUGCAUGCAAGAAGAAUAAAUCAGCUUGACCAAAAGUAGACAUUGAUAGAAAGAAUCUGGUUUUCAAAUACUUCCAAUAAUUAUUUUCCCACAAAGAACAGUUCUACAACCCAAAAUUUGAUUACUUAAUGUUUGAUAACUAGUCCAACUUAGUGGAUAGACAACAUAACCAUGUCCAUUCUUGUGAGUUUCAAAGCGCCAAUAAAACUAGUACAUUGCAUAUAUCAUAUGAUCAACAAUAAAAACCUUUCUUUUUGGUAACUGAGCCCGAAGUUUUACUAAAGAGUUAAUUCUAGAGGAAUUAUGAUUUAAAAAUAAAAGAAUCUUAAGAUAAGACCUGAAUGCUGCGACUAGCAUCCACCUCAAAGCCAUCAUUGGCCACUGAUGAAUCAUAAAGUCGGCUACACUGGUCCAGCCUUUGACUUUUAUCCCUGUAUUCCAGUAUUCUCUCCCUAUAUCCACAAGCACAGAAUACAAAUUAGAAAACUUCUCCAACAAAAAGGAAAAAAGAAAUUAAAAAGCAACUUCAAUCUUAUUUAUAUUAAAUCAACUUACUCAAUUUGCAGCAGGAGCUUCUGUGAAUCCGGGUGGAGGUCUGCCCAUUUGGUACUGUAAGUGGCUGGCGUCUUAUCGUUGGUGAAAAGGUACAACUGCUGCUGCUGUUGCUGUGACUGUUGUUGCUGCUGCAGUUGUUGUUGUUGCAAUUGCAGUUGCAGUUGGUGUUGUUGUUGUUGUUGUUGUUGUUGCUGUUGCUGCUGCUGAAAUUGAAGUUGCUGUUGUUGUUGCGGCUGCUGCGAAAAGGGAGUGAUCUGCGAGAAUGGCGACGACUGUUGCUGACCAGGAGUUUGGAAUGGAGACGACUGUUGCUGGCCGGGAAUUUGGAAUGGCGACGACUGUUGCUGGCCGGGAGUUUGGAAUGGGGACGACUGUUGCUGGCCGGGAGUUUGGAAAGGCGACGACUGUUGCUGGCCGGCAAUUUGGAAUGGAGACGGCUGUUGCUGGCCGGGAGUU